UGGGGAAUAUUGCACAAUGGGCGCAAGCCUGAUGCAGCCAUGCCGCGUGUAUGAAGAAGGCCUUCGGGUUGUAAAGUACUUUCAGUCGGGAGGAAGGUGGUAAGGUUAAUAACCUUGGCAAUUGACGUUACCGACAGAAGAAGCACCGGCUAACUCCGUGCCAGCAGCCGCGGUAAUACGGAGGGUGCAAGCGUUAAUCGGAAUUACUGGGCGUAAAGCGCACGCAGGCGGUCUGUCAAGUCGGAUGUGAAAUCCCCGGGCUUAACCUGGGAACUGCAUUCGAAACUGGCAGGCUAGAGUCUUGUAGAGGGGGGUAGAAUUCCAGGUGUAGCGGUGAAAUGCGUAGAGAUCUGGAGGAAUACCGGUGGCGAAGGCGGCCCCCUGGACAAAGACUGACGCUCAGGUGCGAAAGCGUGGGGAGCAAACAGG
rnacentral:rRNA from 1 species